rnacentral:rRNA from 1 species
CGCGUGCACUGGUCCGGCCGGGCCUUUCCUUCUGUGGAACCCCAUGCCCUUCACUGGGUGUGGCGGGGAAACAGGACUUUUACUUUGAAAAAAUUAGAGUGCUCCAGGCAGGCCUAUGCUCGAAUACAUUAGCAUGGAAUAAUAAAAUAGGACGUGUGGUUCUAUUUUGUUGGUUUCUAGGACCGCCGUAAUGAUUAAUAGGGGACAGUCGGGGGCAUCAGUAUUCAGUUGUCAGAGGUGAAAUUCUUAGAUCUACUGAAGACUAACUACUGCGAAAGCAUUUGCCAAGGAUGUUUUCAUUAAUCAGGAACGAAAGUUAGGGGAUCGAAGACGAUCAGAUACCGUCGUAGUCUUAACCAUAAACUAUGCCGACUAGGGAUCGGACGAUGUUAUUUUUUGACUCGUCCGGCACCUUACGAGAAAUCAAAGUGCUUGGGCUCCAGGGGGAGUAUGGUCGCAAGGCUGAAACUUAAAGAAAUUGACGGAAGGGCACCACCAGGGGUGGAGCCUGCGGCUUAAUUUGACUCAACACGGGGAAACUCACCAGGUCCAGACACAAUAAGGAUUGACAGAUUGAGAGCUCUUUCUUGAUUUUGUGGGUGGUGGUGCAUGGCCGUUCUUAGUUGGUGGAGUGAUUUGUCUGCUUAAUUGCGAUAACGAACGAGACCUUAACCUGCUAACUAGCCCGUAUUGCUCAGGCAGUACGCCGGCUUCUUAGAGGGACUAUCGG